AUGAACGCUGGCGGCGUGCUUAACCCAUGCCAGUCGAACGGAAAGGCCCAAGCUUGCUUGGGUACUCGAGUGGCGAACGGGUGAGUAACACGUGGGUGAUCUGCCCUGCACUUCGGGAUAAGCCUGGGAAACUGGGUCUAAUACCGGAUAGGACGAUGGUUUGGAUGCCAUUGUGGAAAGUUUUUUCGGUGUGGGAUGAGCUCGCGGCCUAUCAGCUUGUUGGUGGGGUAAUGGCCUACCAAGGCGUCGACGGGUAGCCGGCCUGAGAGGGUGUACGGCCACAUUGGGACUGAGAUACGGCCCAGACUCCUACGGGAGGCAGCAGUGGGGAAUAUUGCACAAUGGGCGCAAGCCUGAUGCAGCGACGCCGCGUGGGGGAUGACGGCCUUCGGGUUGUAAACUCCUUUCGCUAGGGACGAAGCGUUUUGUGACGGUACCUGGAGAAGAAGCACCGGCUAACUACGUG
rnacentral:rRNA from 1 species